GAUGAACGCUGGCGGCGUGCCUAACACAUGCAAGUCGAACGGAGUCGUUUUGGAAAUCUCUUCGGAGAUGGAAUUCUCGACUUAGUGGCGGACGGGUGAGUAACGCGUGAGCAAUCUGCCUUUAAGGGGGGGAUAACAGUCGGAAACGGCUGCUAAUACCGCAUAAAGCAUUAAAUUCGCAUGUUUUUGAUGCCAAAGGAGCAAUCCGCUUUUAGAUGAGCUCGCGUCUGAUUAGCUAGUUGGCGGGGUAACGGCCCACCAAGGCGACGAUCAGUAGCCGGACUGAGAGGUUGAACGGCCACAUUGGGACUGAGACACGGCCCAGACUCCUACGGGAGGCAGCAGUGGGGAAUAGUGCGCAAUGGGGGAAACCCUGACGCAGCAACGCCGCGUGAUUGAAGAAGGCCUUCGGGUUGUAAAGAUCUUUAAUCAGGGACGAAACAAAUGACGGUACCUGAAGAAUAAGCUCCGGCUAACUACGUG
rnacentral:rRNA from 1 species